rnacentral:tRNA from 1 species
CCCAAUAUGGCUCAGUUGGGGGAGCGUUAGACUAUAGACCGAAAGGUCCCUGGUUCGAUCCCGGGAUUCGGCA